UACAGAGGUCUCAAGCGUUGUUCGGAUUCAUUGGGCGUAAAGAGCGCGUAGGCGGCUAGAUAAGUCCGGUGUGAAAGUCACAGGCUCAACCUGUGAAUGCCGCUGGAAACUGUCUGGCUAGAGUCCGGAAGAGGCGAGUGGAAUUCCCGGUGUAGCGGUGAAAUGCGCAGAUAUCGGGAGGAACACCAAUGGCGAAGGCAGCUCGCUGGGACGGUACUGACGCUGAGACGCGAAAGCGUGGGGAGCAAACAGG
rnacentral:rRNA from 1 species